AAUAUUCUAUAUAUUCUAUAAUAUUAUAUAUUCUAUAUAACAUAAAAUUAAAUAUAAACGAUACUUUUUAAUCUUGCCUUUACAGAUCUCGAUUAUGAAAUGGCUUCUUGAUUGAAUUCUCGUUUGCCUGCCUCCCGUUCUUCGGUUUGAUCGGCUGUUAUCAGUAAAACAUUAAACGGACAAAGAACAGAACGUGACUACGGACUAUAGAUCAGAUCGUUCUCGAUGAUCAGGGUACAUGGAGAUUCCUCGGAUAUAUCUGCGUCGCUGAAAAAGGGCGUCAUGCAUGGCUCGCACUAGGGUGUCAUCUGCACCCUCUACAACAUGACCAGUUCUGUAGACGAUCUUCACGGUCAAUAUAACGGAUGUCGUAAAAUCAAUUAGUGGCGAAUUGUGCCGCAGCCCGGAUCGCGUGCACUGUAUAUGCAGCUCAUAAAAUUCCUUUUUUCUUUGUGAUCUUUUUGUGUUCCUCGUAUCGGUUCCACUCUAUAAUCAUUUCUUAUCAAAGUACAGUUUUAAAACUACAAUAUUACAAUAUUAUACAUUGGUACAUUGUUAAAUUUCUCAUUUGCAAUAGCAAUAUGAUAUUGGUAUAUUAUAGAUAUUUCGCUUUUAUACCAUUCCGACAAUAGCUUAGUUAAUGUUGACUUUUGAAUGGUCCAAUCUUUCAAGAGGCAAGAAAGAGCCUUUCCUUUUAGCGCGUUUCAGCAUACAGUAAAUAUUAUCAGGAAGCCGUCCCCGCAUAGUAGAGACUCCAACGACAUCCUGACAAAUCUUUGGGGUCGACGUCGUAACCGAUUGAAAGAAUUUUCCGUGACGACUCGUUCAUUGUGCGUGUUUACUAGCUAAGCGAUUUUCUCGUUGUAGAAAGGUCGAAAUAUCUCUCAGAAAUACAAUAGAAAACUUGUAACAAAAAUCAUAGAAGCAAACAUUUUAAAGGGAAAUUUAUGUUAUUCACAGUUAGCAACGAUUCAGAUCUCAGUAAAUUGUACAAGUUUUUAUCAUCCGAGAGAGACGUAUAUCUAUGAAAAAGAGAAAUAGUCCACAUAAAACUUUAACGUCCUUUGUGCGAACGUCACCCGUUACAACGCAACGUUGCUUUGGCUAAGAGCCGGUUAUCUUGAUUGACCACUUCACCGGUCUGUGACGAUUAACCCAAAACAUGGGAGUUUAAUAGGAAGAAACCGAAGGGAAGACGCACGCAUGAAAUUCAUCCUUCUUCAACAAAGUUCGAGGAGUGAAAGAAAAGGUGGCUCUCCUUGUGGCUACAACUCACAACCUACAAUUCGGUGGCUACGAAACGGCUACACCCUUUCAUGAACGCGCGGUUCAACCACUCGUGACCCGACCAACUUCGCCCCAAGUGGUAAGUGUGGCGGGAAUUAUGCAAUUAUUGCAUUGCGCCCGACAAUUGUCGCGGAAAACGGUGAGUGCCUGAAUGGCCUGAGUGUCUAAGGGGCAAAGGGGCGCGAAAGAGGGAUUUCCUUGCCGAUUUACUACCGAGAUCUCCCCAUACAUUUCAUUCCUUGUUUUAAUUCAUUCCACGUUGGAUGCGAUAACGAUGAAAAGUCAGAGCGAAGUAAAGCAAUCCUAGUCGGAUUUUGAAGAUGAAAAUGUACCAUAAAAUCAGAUCAGAUAUUCUUGGAUAUUAGGAUAAAUUGUAUGAAAUAUAUAUAUUCGAAUACAUUUUUAAAACAGAAUCGUGAAAUUAUUCGCGAGAAUUGAAUUGUAUUGUAAAUUCCUUUCGAUUUCGUGUGCGUUGGUUUCUCAAGAUUCCCAAGGGAAAGUCUGCUUCAGUUGGGAGCAUUAGUCAAUCAAAUUGAUGUAUCGUGCGAUUGCCUGGAAUUUAAAAUGCCUGGAAUUUAAAUCUGAAAACAUUAUAAUUUAAACAUUAAAUACAACAUCAAAUUUUUUUCGCGGAAACAAAAAAUUUU